rnacentral:rRNA from 1 species
AGUGAACGCUGGCGGCAGGCCUAACACAUGCAAGUCGAACGGCAGCACGGCAGUAGCAAUACUGUGGGUGGCGAGUGGCGGACGGGUGAGGAAUACAUGGGAAUCUGCCCAGUCGUGGGGGAUAACGUAUGGAAACGUACGCUAAUACCGCAUGCGCCCUACGGGGGAAAGUCGGGGACCGCAAGGCCUGGCGCGAUUGGAUGAGCCCAUGUUCGAUUAGCUAGUUGGCGGGGUAAAGGCCCACCAAGGCGACGAUCGAUAGCUGGUCUGAGAGGAUGAUCAGCCACACUGGAACUGAGACACGGUCCAGACUCCUACGGGAGGCAGCAGUAGGGAAUAUUGGACAAUGGGGGCAACCCUGAUCCAGCCAUGCCGCGUGAGUGAAGAAGGCCCUCGGGUUGUAAAGCUCUUUUGUCCGGAAAGAAAAGCAAUCGGUUAAUACCCAGUUGUUCUGACGGUACCGG